GACGAACGCUGGCGGCAUGCCUAACACAUGCAAGUCGAGCGAGCUGAUCCCUUCGGGGUGAAGCUAGCGGCGGACGGGUGAGUAACACGUGGGCAAACUGCCUCAUAGAGGGGAAUAGCCUUCCGAAAGGAAGAUUAAUACCGCAUAAGAUUGUAGCUUCGCAUGAAGCAGCAAUUAAAGGAGCAAUCCGCUAGGAGAUGGGCCCGCGGCGCAUUAUCUAGUUGGUGAGGUAACGGCUCACCAAGGCGACGAUGGGUAGCCGACCUGAGAGGGUGAGCGGCCAGAGUGGUACUGAGACACGGCCCAGACUCCUACGGGAAGCGGCAUUGGGGAAGAUUGCACAAUGGGGGAAACCCUGAUGCAGCAAUGCCGCGGUAGUGAUGUCGGCCUUCGGGUUGUAAAUCUCUGUCUUCGGGGACGAUAAUGACGGUACCCGAGGAGAAAGCCACGGCUAACUACGUGCCAGCAGCCGCCGUAA
rnacentral:rRNA from 1 species